UACGUAGGGGGCAAGCGUUGUCCGGAAUCAUUGGGCGUAAAGAGCGUGUAGGCGGUUCGGUAAGUCCGCUGUGAAAGUCCAGGGCUCAACCCUGGAAAGCCGGUGGAAACUGUCGAGCUAGAGUCCGGAAGAGGCGAGUGGAAUUCCUGGUGUAGCGGUGAAAUGCGCAGAUAUCGGGAAGAACACCCGUGGCGAAGGCGGCUCUCUGGGACGGUACUGACGCUGAGACGCGAAAGCGUGGGGAGCGAACAGG
rnacentral:rRNA from 1 species